CCCUUAGAUGUUCUGGGCCGCACGCGUGCUACACUGAGUGGAUCAGCGGGUCAGGUUGCGCGAAAGUGUUUCCUAAUCUUGAAAUCCGCUCGUGAUGGGGAUUGACGGUUGCAAUUUUCCGUCAUGAACGAGGAAUACCUUGUAAGCGCGGGUCAUCAUCCCGCGCUGAAUACGUCCCUGCCCUUUGUACACACCGCCCGUCGCUCCUACCGAUUGAAUGCUCAGGUGAGCCAUUCGGACCUUCAUCAUGCCGGUUUCCGGUUUUGAUGAGGGAAAGUCUUGCGAACCUUAUCAUUUAGAGGAAGGAGAAGUCGUAACA
rnacentral:rRNA from 1 species